AACAUACCAUUGCCCAGAUCUCAUAUAUUCAACAAUUGAUUCACAGUCUUGGUGUUGAUAACCAACACUGAUAAAAGGUCCCCAGCUGAUGUCAAUUCCUGGUGGGGACUAUGUACUGUAAUCCUAUAAGACAUUCCCACCGGGAGAAACUUGUUAAAAGAUACAGGAGAACCUGUCUUAUUUCUGACAACUCUAUGUAAUAAAUCUAUAACUAUCACAACAUAAAAAGUUUUUAAUUUAAACUUUAAGGAAAGUUUAAAUUUACAAUAAAUCUUGAGUCUACAGUGCUCUGUCAUGAAAUAGAGGCUCUCCGCAUGUGUUUAAUUAUAGUUCACAAGACUCUCCUGACUUUGAUUCUCUUGUUCUCUCCAACUCAAUAGCCUGAAAAGUUUCCACAUCUCUUCUCUACCUUAAGAUCUAUUAUUUUUGUAUUUCUUUCUCCUCUCCUCAUAGUUCUGGCUUCAUCAGAUAAAAUUGCUCCAGACCUCCUAUAGAGAGAUGAUCUGUGUGAGAUCUUUGUGAGGAAGAAUACAGAAAACCUCAGAGUCUUAUCUGCUGGGGACCAUCUGUUCUCCCCAGCAAGGCUCCUCCACCAAUGGCCCAAUAAAGGAGACUGCUUGGCUGGGGGAAGUGGUUGAGAAGGAAAGGAGGCAGAAACAGGCGCAGUCCCUGGAGCGGCUGCCCUUGCAUUCUACCACCUUCUCUGCGUCAGACUUGACAAAAUGUCUCUCUUCUUAUCAUGGAUCAAAGCUAUUUUCAUCAUUGCCUUGGUAUUUCCUCUUUAUUCUGCCAGACUGUAAAGUGUAUACAGAAGUUUGCACCAGAGAAUACGAUCCAAUCUGUGCAAGUGAUGCAAAAACCUACAGCAAUGAAUGUACUUUCUGCAAUGAAAAGAUGAAUAAUGAUGCCAAUAUUUAUUUUCAACACUUUGGUGAAUGUGAAUAUUGAUAAAGCAGCUCAUAAUUUGGUUUUUAUUGUAACUACAUUUUGUGGUGUAUUCUACAGGCAAUUAGAGUCUUCUUAAUCAGAGCUGACCAGGUCAAUUCUAUGAAACAAGAGCUAUUGAUAGAAUAUAGAGCAUUCAAAUUCUUCCCAAAAUUAAUUUUUUAUGAUUUCAGGAUUUUCAUUCUUUGUGUUCAAUUUAUUCAAUGGUAGUUUGAAAAAUUAAUGUCACUUGCAUGCUUGAUAACAUAAAAGCUAGUGUAAUUUAAAAUAAUAAAUAUUUCACUCAUUAAAAUGUUAAUAAUGGU
rnacentral:lncRNA from 1 species